GAUGAACGCUGGCGGCGUGCUUAACACAUGCAAGUCGAACGGGAUCCCGGGGGUUCGCUUCCGGGUGAGAGUGGCGAACGGGUGAGUAAUGCGUGACCGACCUGCCCCAUACACCGGAAUAGCUCCUGGAAACGGGUGGUAAUGCCGGAUGCUCCGGUUGGAUGCAUGUCCUUCCGGGAAAGAUUCUAUCGGUAUGGGAUGGGGUCGCGUCCUAUCAGCUUGAUGGCGGGGUAACGGCCCACCAUGGCUUCGACGGGUAGCCGGCCUGAGAGGGCGACCGGCCACAUUGGGACUGAGAUACGGCCCAGACUCCUACGGGAGGCAGCAGUGGGGAAUAUUGCACAAUGGGCGCAAGCCUGAUGCAGCGACGCCGCGUGCGGGAUGGAGGCCUUCGGGUUGUAAACCGCUUUUGAUCGGGAGCAAGCCCU
rnacentral:rRNA from 1 species